rnacentral:rRNA from 1 species
GAUGAACGCUGGCGGCGUGCCUAAUACAUGCAAGUCGAGCGAACGGACGAGAAGCUUGCUUCUCUGAUGUUAGCGGCGGACGGGUGAGUAACACGUGGAUAACCUACCUAUAAGACUGGGAUAACUUCGGGAAACCGGAGCUAAUACCGGAUAAUAUUUUGAACCGCAUGGUUCAAAAGUGAAAGACGGUCUUGCUGUCACUUAUAGAUGGAUCCGCGCUGCAUUAGCUAGUUGGUAAGGUAACGGCUUACCAAGGCAACGAUGCAUAGCCGACCUGAGAGGGAGGUGGGCCACACGGGAAAAGAGACACGGUAGGGACGACAGCGUGAGGCAGCAGUGGGGAAUUUUCCGUAAUGGGCGAAAGACUGACGGAGCAACGCAGCGUGGGUGAUGAAGGUCUUCGGAUCGUAAAACACUGGUAUCAGGGAAGAACAUAUGUGUCAGUAACUAUUCACAUCUUGACGGUACCUAAUCAGAACGGCACGCCUACCUACGUG